rnacentral:tRNA from 1 species
GCGGCGGUGGCGGAAUUGGUAGACGCAGCGGACUCAAAAUCCGCCGGCAGCAAUGUCUUGAGGGUUCGAGUCCCUCCCGCCGUA